AUCCCACUUAAAUAUUGUUAUAAUGUCCUGAAGGGGUGCUUUUUAAUUUUAUCAUCCCUCACCAUGUACUCGUUAAAAACAAAGUGCACUGUAUAAAUAAAAUCAAAAAUGGUGUUGAGAAUAAGAAGAACUAGCGCAAUUCGAAUUUUCGUAUGCUGGAUUCGGGGUGGAAAAGGACCAAAAAAGUGUGUGAGAGUGGCCUAAAAAUUGUUGGUGGCGAAAAGAAAAUUUGAAAAAAAAAUGAAUUUUUCAAACUUUUCGGAUGAUUCCAUGCCACCUGAUGAUGGAGACACUGGCAUCCCCUGGGCGGAAUAUGGACCAGUACUCUUCAUAUAUUCGCUUACAUUUCUGCUUGGAUUUAUUGGAAAUGUCGUCAUUAUCGCAUCGACGCUUUGUCCAAGACUGCGACCAUUGCCAUCAACACCCACCAAUGUUUUUCUUGGUGGUCUCGCCACGGCCGACCUUUUACUCAUUAUAUUCUGCAUACCAGUAAAGGUAGCGAAGCUGUUCUCCUUCACUUGGGAGAUGGGCCUUUUCUUAUGUAAAUCAGUGCAUUACAUGCAAAGCGUAUCGGCUAUCUGCUCAGUUUUGACUCUCACAGCGAUGUCUGUCGAAAGGUAUUAUGCCAUAGUCCAUCCAAUGAGAGCUCAAUAUAUUUGUACUAUAAGCCAGGCUCGCAGAAUAGUGAUCAUCGUCUGGUUUGCGUCCUUCAUUUUAGCCAUACCCAUGGCUUUCAUACAGAUCCAUAAGGAAGUGGGUGUAGUUGUGAAAGCUUACCAUUGCAAGCGAGAUUUCGAGUCUGUGACUUUAUGGCGAACACAUGAGCUUUACAUGUUUUUGAUGGUGCUCGUGAUACCACUGAUAAUAAUGAUAUUUUGCUAUACUGCCAUCUGCUGGGAGAUAUGGAGGGUCAUGAAAAGGAGAUAUCAUAUGACAUCCAGACAUGCACUGAGUCCAAAUAAUGCUGAUACAGAGAGCAUUCCCAUGACACAAAGACAAAGUACGAUUCGGAAUGGUCGAAGAAGUCGUCGAGAAAAUGGUCGGCAAACUCAAGAAGAAUCUCGCACAAUGAAGCAGGUGGUCAAAAUGCUUGUAGCUGUAGUGGUCCUUUUUGCAAUUUGUUGGAGUCCCAUGCUUGUCGAUAAUGUUCUCACAGCUUAUGGUAUUUUACCUAGACAGAAAUUUGGAAAUUACAAACAUAUGAAUACUGCCUUUCAGCUGAUGGCAUACUUAAACAGUUGUAUUAAUCCGAUAAUCUAUGGCUUCAUGUCGAAGCACUUUAGAGAGAGUUUUUUAUCGGCAGCUCGUGGGGGAUGGUGGCGAAUUUGUUCAAGAAGACGCUAUGACCAUUCAGUAAAAAGGCAUGCAAGUCUGAGUCAGACUAGAACAACCAGUGUGCGUGCACCUUCAACGACGAUUAUUAGUACUUAGUUAAGAUUACUUAAAGAUAUGGACUUGAUUAUUUCCUUGCUCCCAGACAUGGGUUAGAUAGAAAAUUUAUAGGAGAGGUUGCCCAAACAGCACCCGACCAGCGCUUGAGCAGCAUCUGGCAGGAAAUGUUAACUCAAAGUUUAUUAAAUAGCACCUGAUCAGUAACUAACCUAAAAUUUGUACACAAAAUUACCAAACUCGUGUCUGAUCAGUGCCGUAUAGAAAUUCUAAUUUUUUUAAAUAUCCAACACAGCACCCAACCUGCGACUAAACAUCAUCAUACUAGAAAUUGUAAUAAAAAACGUUCAACCAGUUCCUGAUUAGCUUUCAUAUAGAAACAUUAUUUAAAAGAUUGUCUAAACAGCACCCAAUUAGCACCUAAUCAGCACCGGACUAGAAAUUAUAACUAAAAAUUGCCAAUAUAUUACCUGAUCAGCACCCGUUUAGAAAUUUUAAUUUAAAAAAAAUAUCCGCAAAAGCGUCCAAUCAGUGCCUGCACAGCGCCCUGCCACAAAUUGUAAUAAAAAAUUUCCCAACUAUCGCUUGAUCAGGGCCCAACUGAAAAUGUUUACUGAAUUAAAAUUUGAAAUUUUGUAAUAUAAUAAUCGACUCAGUGUAUUUUUUUUCACACCCGAAAUAUAUUCGAAUCAAAUUUUUCGACAUAUCCAGACUACGAAAAUGUAAACGAAAAACAAAUUUUGUUUCUUUUUUGUAACAAAGAUAUUUAAAAAAAUUAAUCUUGUUCCUAAUCCUCAAUCCGAUCAAUAUUUUAAAUGAAAUCACAAUUUUGGAUUUAGGAAGUGGGACAAGAAAACGGGGAAACUCAAUCGCUAUAUUAGUAUUAUUCGGUGAAAAAACCGUACAAAUUAAAAAAAAAUAUAUGUUUGAUGUCAUUUUUCAUGGAUAAAAAUGGAAAAAAAGAUGUUAAAAACGCAUUUUUUUCGUUUAAGGAUGUUUGUAGUAUUACGUAUUUGUUAUAAUAAAUCACUAAUGUUAUUUUUUAACAAUGUUGAUUCAUAUUUAUUUUUAUUUAUUGUAAAUAUUCAUUUUUCCUGUAAUUUUGAUAGAAUUUAUUAUAAACUAAAUAUACAGUGAACUCUCAUUUAUUCCAGGGGGUGAAAAACGUAAAUAUUCGGAAAAAUAUUCGAAAACCUAUCGGGACAUUUCAAGUCUACAGGGGCCCCCACCUCUACCGCGAGUCGUGGGGUGAUUUUGUCAAGGGACUUUCAUUGGCUGCCUCUGCCUUUUAUCAAUGCUUGCGCUGUAAUUGUGCACACAUCCUUGCAUUGCGCAAGAGCUUCCCCCUCUUCCAACCUCUCUUUAAUUGGUCAGCUGCUGACGCGGCGAGACUGUGCAGGGAAAGUGGUGGGCGGUAAAGAAGCUUCGUUACUUGGAAUAUCCGAGCUUGGGGAACUUUAAAUAAGUGAGCAUUAGAAUAAAUGAGCCUUGAAAUGAGUAAAAGUUUAAUGUAAAUUUAAGUUUGUAAAUAUAUUUAUAAAAUAAUGAGAAAGUAUUCAAAAUCUUUCUACAUUUUCCAUUUUUAUCCAAAAAUUUCGCUUCUUUUGAAUGACAAAUUUUUUAAGGUAUUCGUAAGUAGAACAUAGCAUGCGCAUUUAUUUCAAAUAGAAUAUUUGACGAAUUAUGAAAUAGUUGUAAUUUUUUCCGUGUACUGUCGACUUCGAAUAAAAAAUAUACCAAGAAAUCGACAUCCACGAAAAUGCUAGAGCUUUAAUUUUUUUCUAAUAGAAAAAUUGUAUUUAAUGUUACGUACUCUAUAGGAAUAAAAAAUCAUCUUAAAAACUUUCAAUAAACUUUAAUAUAAAAAGGCGAAACGUAUCUGCAUCGUUUUAAGUGUCCGUAGAUCGUAAAAAAUACUGACGAAUUUAUUGUCAAUCGACAUAACAUUUGAUCAAAGUAUCAUAAAUAAAAAAAACUCGUAACUGUGUGCGUCAACGCGUCUAUCAAUUUGAAAAUAGUUUUCAAAUAAAAAUAUAUGUUGGAAGAAUGUGACCUCUCUGAAAAACCAUCGAUGAUUUAAAGAAUUGUUUUUUAUUUUCUGAUGAAAUAAUGAUAGAUACAAGUAAAUUUCUUUUCCUUUCUUCUUCACUAUAUAGGUAUUCAAAAUAUAGUUUUCAAAACCCUGAAAAGAUUUAAAUAUUUGGUUAUAAUCAGAACAUUUCUGUGUUGCUUAAGUGGCAGAAUAGGUUAUUAAUAAAAAAUCAAUUUUUGUGAAGGCAAGUGCGAAAACAGAAUAUCAGAUCUCGAGAAUAAUACUAAUUAAUUUUUUUAAAUUGAAAAUAGUAGUGUUUUUUUGCUUCGUUACAUUUGGGGCGUAACAAGCAAAAAAAUAAAAUAAAAUAUUUUUUUUAGACUACGAUUAUAUGAGUGUUAUUAGACGUUUUUA